UCCCUGGUGGUCCAGUGGUUAGGAUUCCACACUUACACUGCCAAGAGCUCAGGUUCAAUCCCUGGUAGGGGAA
rnacentral:tRNA from 1 species